rnacentral:rRNA from 1 species
GGGGUAUUGCACCUACCGAAGACUAUCAAACUCCGAAUGCCGUCAUCUUAUACUUGGGAGUCAGACUGUGGGUGAUAAGAUUCAUAGUCGAAAGGGCAACAGCCCAGAUCGUCAGCUAAGGUCCCUACAUGUAAGUUAAGUGGUAAAGGAUGUGGGAUUGCACAGACAACCAGGAUGUUGGCUUAGAAGCAGCCACUCAUUCAAAGAGUGCGUAAUAGCUCACUGGUCGAGUGAUCCUGCGCCGAAGA